CGCGUAGGCGGAUCGUUAAGUCAGAGGUGAAAUCCCGGAGCUCAACUUCGGAACUGCCUUUGAUACUGCUGGUCUUGAGGUCGAGAGAGGUGAGUGGAAUUCCGAGUGUAGAGGUGAAAUUCGUAGAUAUUCGGAGGAACACCAGUGGCGAAGGCGGCUCACUGGCUCGAUACUGACGCUGAGGUGCGAAAGCGUGGGGAGCAAACA
rnacentral:rRNA from 1 species